CAAUGUCCUCUGUCAGCAGCUGGGCUGUGGGAGCGCUGUGGCAGUGCCAGGACAGGCCUGGUUUGGAGAGGGCAGCGGCCGCAUCUGGGCUGUUGUGUUUGAGUGUCAGGGGAAGGAGACACAUUUGUCCCAGUGUGCCUUUUCUUCAUGGAACCGAGUUCCAUGCUCUCAUGAACAUGAUGCAGGAGUCAUCUGUAAUGUCAUACCUUCCGAACGCACAACUACAACAGGAAUUCUAGAAACAACCACAAGCACUCUAAAACCAGUUGGACCCAGUCCACCGUCCCCACUGUCCAUCCCUGCUGUGGUCUUCCUGGUACUGGGAGCUCUUCUCUUCCUACUGCUAGUGCUGCUCGCUGGUCGUCAGUUGUACCAGAACAGGGUGCUGAAGAGAGCCCUGUACCAGGGGGGUCUCACGCCUCUACAUGAGACCAUCUAUGAGGAGAUAGAAUACAACCUGACCAGGAA